rnacentral:rRNA from 1 species
AUAGACCCGAAACCCGGUGAUCUAGCCAUGGGCAGGUUGAAGGUUGGGUAACACUAACUGGAGGACCGAACCGACUAAUGUUGAAAAAUUAGCGGAUGACCUGUGGCUGGGGGUGAAAGGCCAAUCAAACCGGGAGAUAGCUGGUUCUCCCCGAAAGCUAUUUAGGUAGCGCCUCGUGAAUUCAUCUCCGGGGGUAGAGCACUGUUUCGGCUAGGGGGCCAUCCCGGCUUACCAACCCGAUGCAAACUGCGAAUACCGGAGAAUGUUAUCACGGGAGACACACGGCGGGUGCUAACGUCCGUCGUGAAGAGGGAAACAACCCAGACCGCCAGCUAAGGUCCCAAAGUCAUGGUUAAGUGGGAAACGAUGUGGGAAGGCCCAGACAGCCAGGAUGUUGGCUUAGAAGCAGCCAUCAUUUAAAGAAAGCGUAAUAGCUCACUGGUCGAGUCGGCCUGCGCGGAAGAUGUAACGGGGCUAAACCAUGCACCGAAGCUGCGGCAGCGACGUUUAUGCGUUGUUGGGUAGGGGAGCGUUCUGUAAGCCUGCGAAGGUGGCCUGUGAGGGUUGCUGGAGGUAUCAGAAGUGCGAAUGCUGACAUAAGUAACGAUAAAGCGGGUGAAAAGCCCGCUCGCCGGAAGACCAAGGGUUCCUGUCCAACGUUAAUCGGGGCAGGGUGAGUCGACCCCUAA